rnacentral:rRNA from 1 species
UACAGAGGUCUCGAGCGUUGUUCGGAUUCAUUGGGCGUAAAGGGUGCGUAGGUGGCACCGUAAGUCGGGUGUGAAAUCCUGAGGCUUAACCUCGGAACUGCAUUCGAUACUGCGGUGCUUGAGGACUGGAGAGGAGACUGGAAUUCAUGGUGUAGCGGUGAAAUGCGCAGAUAUCGGGAGGAACACCAGUAGCGAAGGCGGCUCGCUGGGCCAUUCCUGACGCUGAGACGCGAAAGCUAGGGGAGCGAACAGG